ACGAAACACCUCAUCAUGCGUGUGCUGUUAUGUACAUACACUCAAUUAUAGCGGAGCUGCUGAAUGAGACUGAUGGACAAUUCCUCACAAUAUUAAGCAACGACGAUACUGUUCGAGAUUUUAGUCACUGCUACAAGUUUGCAUCGUUUCUUUGCCAUGGAGCCGGAGGAGAAAAAUCCAGAGUCCAAAUAUGGUGAGCCAAGGAAAUUUGACCCCACAUUUAAAGGUCCAAUUUAUAACAGGGGCUGCACAGAUGUUCUCUGUUGUGUCUUGUUCAUCUUGGCCUUGCUGGGCUACUUUGCAGUUGGGAUUCUGGCAUGGUCUCAGGGUGACCCCCGUAAGGUGAUUUACCCGACAGACAGUAAGGGUCAGUUUUGUGGGCAGGCCGGCACUCCUCUUGAGAAAAAGCCUCUGCUGUUCUACUUCAACAUCUUGAAGUGUGCCAGUCCUCUGGUCCUGCUAGAGUUUCAGUGCCCUACCACUCAGAUCUGUGUGGAGAGCUGUCCCAAUAAGUUCAUGACUUUAGUGAAGGCUACAAGAAAUAAAAAUGAUAUGGAAUACUACAAACAAUUCUGCAAAGAGGGAUUUGACAUCACCAAAAAAGCUCCUGAAAUCCUGAAGGAUGGCUUGUGCCCUUCAAUAAUCACACCCAGCAAGCCUUUCACACGAAGAUGCUUGCCUGCUCUAGAGACCUUGAAAGGUGGUGUAGUCAUGAUUGGCAAUAAAACUACAUUCACGGAAGAUGGAGAAAAUAUAAAUGCUACAGAUCUGCUUGAAGCCUCAAAGAAAUCCAAUGUAGUGGUUGAGGCCCGGGCUGUAGCCAUGAGGAUCUUUGAGGACUAUACACAGUCCUGGCAUUGGAUACUUCUUGGUUUGGUGAUCGCCAUGCUGGUCAGCCUGAUCUUUAUUCUCCUCUUACGUUGUCUGGCUGGAGUUAUGAUCUGGGUUAUGAUCUUCAUGGUUAUCCUUGUCAUUGGAUACGGAAUUUUCCAUUGUUACAUGCAGUAUGCCAGUCUGAAAGGACUGGCUGGUUCUGAUGUCACUAUCAAGGAUUUGGGUCUACAGACAGACUUCUCUGUAUACUUACAGAUUCAGCAGACCUGGCUUGCUUUCAUGAUCAUUCUGUGUAUCGUGGAAGUGGUGAUCAUUCUCCUCCUCGUCUUCCUCAGAAAGAGGCUCCUCAUUGCCAUUGCUCUCAUCAAAGAGGCCAGCAGAGCCAUCGGUCAUGUGAUGUCAUCAUUGUUUUACCCCCUGCUGACCUUUGCCCUACUGUCUCUGGUCAUCGCAUACUGGGCCAUCACCGCCAUAUUUUUGUCAACUUCAAAUGAGCCAGUGUACAGGAUUUUUAAUACUACAGAGUGUGCCUAUUCCAGAGACACCUGCAACCCUGAGACUUUCAACAGCUCAAAUAUCACCACCAUAUGCCCCGAUGCUGAAUGUCUGUUUGCAUUUUAUGGAGGAGAGACGUUAUACCACAAGUACCUGAUUCUGUUCCAGUUCUAUAAUUUAUUCCUUUUCUUCUGGUGUGCCAACUUCGUGACAGCACUGGGGCAGGUCACGCUGGCAGGGGCUUUUGCAUCUUAUUACUGGGCAUUCAAAAAGCCUGAUGACAUCCCUGCGUACCCUGUCUUUAACUCUUUGGGACGGGCCCUCAGGUAUCACACUGGCUCUCUGGCAUUUGGGUGUCUCAUUCUCGCCAUCGUUCAGGUUAUCAGGGUCAUAUUGGAGUAUCUGGAUCAAAAGUUGAAAGGUGCCCAGAACAAGUUUGCAAAAUUCCUGCUCAGCUGUUUAAAAUGCUGCUUCUGGUGCCUGGAAAAAUUCAUCAAGUUCCUUAACAGAAAUGCCUAUAUCAUGGUGGCAAUAUAUGGCAAAAAUUUCUGUACGUCUGCCAGAGACGCAUUCUUUCUCCUGAUGAGGAACAUAGUUCGUGUGGCAGUCCUUGACAAGGUUACGGACUUCCUCUUAUUUUUGGGCAAACUUCUCAUCGUUGGAAUUGUGGGAAUUUGUUCCUUCUUCUUUUUCACGGGGAAGGUUAAGAUAGUGGAGGAAGCUGCUCCAAACCUUAACUAUUACUGGGUGCCUAUAUUGACGGUGGUGUUUGGCGCCUAUCUGAUUGCCCAUGGCUUCUUCAGUGUAUACGCCAUGUGUGUGGACACACUCUUCCUCUGUUUCUUGGAGGAUCUUGAACGCAAUAAUGGCACAGCGGACAGACCCUACUUCAUGCCAGAGAGACUGCUGACCAUCCUCAAGAAGUCUAAUGAGGAGACAAAAACAGUAGACUGAAAAAAAAAGAGAAGAUUGAUUGAAAAAUAGAAAGAAUUGUACAGACAUAGAAAGAGAUCAUCUCUAUGUAUCUGUCAAACUUGCACUGAUCAUUUAAUGGCAGUUAUGUGUCAUAGAAAACAUUACAAUAGACCUUAUUUACGCUAGCGCCAUCUUUGAUUGUUAAUGGAAUGACAACAAGGCUGUGAGGGAUAGUCUUUUUAAUGGCACGAACGGUAUAAAGCUCCUAAAUCACAUCUGAUUUCCCACAACUUGUGUUUUCUAGAGUUCUUUGUAUACUUGUUGUUUUUUUCCAAUGUUUUGUCCAUGGAACGAUCCAAAAACACUUUAAACUGCAGUACAGCCAAUUGAAGAGACUGUUAGUCUAUCCCUCACAGCCUCUUUGUCAUUCCCAUUAAAAAUUAAAGAUGGCGCUGGCGUGAAUAAGGUCUAAAAAGUAUUAUCAAUAUAUUUUGUUGUUUGCUUAUUACAUUGAGAUUAUCAUGUAUUUUGUGUUGUACUUUGUAUAUAAAAUGCUUUAUUUGGCAAGUGCGCCUUUUUUAGACACGUUUAACCAAAUAGAGUGACAUGCAGUGCAUUUAAAGGUAUAUAUAGGGUUGAGAGGGUUACUUUUGAAAUGUAUUCCACUACAGAUUACAGAAUACAUGCUGUAAAAUGUAAUUUGUAACGUAUUCCAUUAGAUUACUCAAGGUCAGUAACGUAUUCUAAAUACUUUGGAUUACUUCUUCAGCACUGGUAGAUUUUUUUCACUUGUUUUGACUAUAAAAACUCUGCCAGUACAGUAAGACAAAAUACACAUGUUAAAAAUACAUUCUCUGAAAAACCUAAAUAUCUUAUGUAGUGUUGUUUCUAAAACAAGAUAAAUCCAAUUGAACUUGUUUUAAGAUUUCUCAUCAAGAAUAAGAUAUUUGUCCUAAUGUGAAAGGUCUUACUAGUGAGAAAAAAAAUAUAAUCUAACGUUUACUCUCUUGAUAAAAAAAAAAAAAAAAUACAACCGUGCUUGGUAACAAGUGCAUGUAAAAUGGCUAGAAAGAGCAUUUUAGCUUAGCGGAAAGGUUUAUUUCUAUUUCUUGUGCUCCAAACUUACUUCAAACUUACUUCUCUGUCUGCUCGUAUGAAUGUAACACAUCAUAAGAAAGUGUUCCACCGCUGUUCAAAUGCACUUUGGAUCGCAUCAUUUAUAUGAAUAAAUGUUUUCCAUCUGAAAGGACUAAAUAUUAAAUGAAACAAAUGACAAUAAAAAGCAAAGUAAUCUCUUCAGUAAUCAAAAUACUUUUAGAAUGUAACUGUAUUCUAAUUACCAAUGAUUUAAAUUGUAACUGUAGUGGAAUACAGUUACUUAUAUUUUGUAUUUUAAAUACGUAAUCCCGUUACAUGUAUUCCGCUACUCCCUAACCCUGGAUAUACGUGCUGGGUCGAUAAAAACCCGAGUACGUAAUAACGUCGUCAUUAUUAUUUGUAUAGCACCUUUCACAACACACAUUGUUUAAAAGCAGCUUUACAGAAAAUAAUACGUUAACAAAAAAUGAAACUGUAAUAUCUAUAAAGUGAUAAUUGAGUAGUUAGAUUAAAUAUGAUUGUAAAUUGUGUAUAAAAAUUUAAUAAUUAAUUAAUAAUUGUAUUUAGAGCCCCAGUGAGCAAGCCAAAGGCGACUUUGGCAAGGAAUACAGAACUCCAUAAGAUUUUGGUUAAUGGAGAAAAAUAACCUUGGGAGAAACCAGGCUCACUGUGGGGGCCAGUUCCUCUCUGGCUAAACAACAUGAAUAUAAUGCCAGUAUUAGUUAUUUAUGUGCAGUGCAGGUCAUGGUUUUAGAUUAGUAAACUAAGUAAGUGUUAAGGUCCAGUGUUUAAAAAAAAAAAAAAAAAGAUUUUGUAUGAACUGUAAGAUUAAUGACUAAUGUCUUUGAAGUCCAUCCUGGAUUAACUGCAGAAGUUCACACAGAUGCAUUGUCCUUUGUUAGAUGGCUGAUGAGGGCUUUUGUUGGCAAUUAUAUGAUAGUCUGAAUAUUCCAUUUCAAGAGUGUAGUCCAUCAAUAGACAAAGGCGAUACAGGCAGAGAUAAAUGAGGUGCAUCGCAGUUCAACCUGCAGGUCAUUUCGGUGAGGUUCGGUGGGGUCCAUCCUAAAUCCAAGGUUCAGGCAGUGGCAUAUGAAGUAUUCCAUGUUUUACAGUUGGAGUUGGCAUCAGUUCAUCCUCUGAAGUCCAUCGUAAAAGACUGAAGUGAUGUCUGGCUAGCACCGGAUGCAUUUAGUCGUUAUCACUCAGAUACACAUAGCAGUGGAGUUCGACACCAAGCAGGAACAGAGCUGGAUCUGGCCGGCUCUGGUAACCUUGGGACAUGAAUCCCGAGGUUGAGACAGGGAAACAAAUAGAAUAAUGUUUGGCGAAACACCCACGCAUUUAAGGAUUAAAAUCUUUUAAUUGCUAUCGCACAUACUGUAUACUGCCAUCAUAUCUUAAGCACCACAGAUAUCUGAUUUUGUCCAAGUUACCUGAUUUUUUUUUUCUCACUAUUCAUUGUUUUUC